rnacentral:rRNA from 1 species
GACGAACGCUGGCGGCGUGCCUAAUACAUGCAAGUCGAACGAACUCUGGUAAUGAUUGGUGCUUGCAUCAUGAAUUACAUUUGAGUGAGUGGCGAACUGGUGAGUAACACGUGGGAAACCUGCCCAGAAGCGGGGGAUAACACCUGGAAACAGAUGCUAAUACCGCAUAACAACUUGGACCGCAUGGUCCGAGUUUGAAAGAUGGCUUCGGCUAUCACUUUUGGAUGGUCCCGCGGCGUAUUAGCUAGAUGGUGAGGUAACGGCUCACCAUGGCAAUGAUACGUAGCCGACCUGAGAGGGUAAUCGGCCACAUUGGGACUGAGACACGGCCCAAACUCCUACGGGAGGCAGCAGUAGGGAAUCUUCCACAAUGGACGAAAGUCUGAUGGAGCAACGCCGCGUGAGUGAAGAAGGGUUUCGGCUCGUAAAACUCUGUUGUUAAAGAAGAACAUAUCUGAGAGUAACUGUUCAGGUAUUGACGGUAUUUAACCAGAAAGCCACGGCUAACUACGUGCCAGCCGCCGCCGUAA